UCAAGUCAGUCAAGUUUUCACUCACAGUUGAACAGUCACACGUCGAGCUUUGUGUCAGUCUAUGCUUCGUUCCCACAGUUAUAGGACUGGCUGGCUGGCGGAAUGACGUAACCUGAAUUCCUAUGGUUGGCACUGGCCGUCUGGAAUUCCUCAUAUGGAAAUGUAUCUCCCCCUCUCCCACAUUUAAUGUGUGUUAAUGUAUUAUCUUUAUGUUCGAUGAUACCGCUUUUCAAAAGCACGUUAAAGUCAGCUGGCGUCGAGACGGAAUCGAAUUGUAUGUCUGUAUCUUUCCAUUGGUCGCAGCCAGAUCUCUGACGCGUUAUUACGCGUGGCUUGCAAGCAGCACAACUUUGCGUAACAGUAGUCUAUGACAUUAUAUUACUGUGGACUAUUAUCAGGUGAAGAGUGUGUAUUUCCUAUGUAAUGGAUAUUACCAUCGGAACGGAUCUGAGUGACAUAGAGAGAAAGAUGGCUCGGAAGAUUCCAGAGAGUCUGUUUCCUUUUGCCACGGAUGGACGGAUGAUGAAAGAUAAUACAGAUGGUAGAGACGGGUGGGACCUGCCUGGCCAUGUACAAGACAUGUCCUACACCGUGAGUCUGCAGAGCAACAUGCGACUCCUAAGACAAGAAAUGUCACACCUGCGGGGCAUGGACGUCCGUCUGAUGUGCCAGCUCCUGUCGAUCAACGACGGCAUCGAGGCGAUGCGCUGGGACCUGGAGGUGUAGCUGAGGUUGGGGAUGGCAGCGGUGACUAGCCAGGAGAGUAGCCUGGCCGAGAGCCAGGAUGCACCCCGGCGAAGCAGCGUGUCCAGUCUACACUAUGGGAGAGAUGGUUUUGAUGUGAUGACUGUGGGGAGUUAUCUGGGUAGCUCGGCGGAAGACCCAGCGGCGAUACCGGCCCUCUCUCGCCCGCUGACCGGGUAGUUGGAGAAGGAGGCUUGGAGGGAAAGCUACUGUACAUAUCCAGACUAUUAUUGCAGACCAGCUCUAACAAACCUGAUUCAGCUAUACUGGCCUAAAAUCAAGAUGUGAUGAUUAGUUGAUUAGUUAAAUCAGGUGUGUUGGGCUGCCUGGAACAAAAGCAUGCCCACAUUGUAACCUACCUGUACUGUACCUGUCCAGGAACACUGUAUCCAGAGGGUUUCAGAGGACAACGUUAGUGGGAGAGAGUCCAGGAACACUGUAUCCAGAGGGUUUCAGAGGACAACGUUAGUGGGAGAGAGUCCAGGACAAUCAUGUUGCAGUGCUGAAAGAGUAUAACCUUCGUCGCCACUAUGUGAGUCUUCAUGCCGACAAAUAUGACAACUUUCAAGGACAGUGGAGAAGAGAGAAGGUGAAUGAACUGUUGGUGGGUCUGAAGAAACAGCAGUCUGUGUUUACUCACAGCCGAGACAUCAGUGAC
rnacentral:lncRNA from 1 species